rnacentral:rRNA from 1 species
CGGUAACAGGAAGAAGCUUGCUUCUUUGCUGACGAGUGGCGGACGGGUGAGUAAUGUCUGGGAAACUGCCUGAUGGAGGGGGAUAACUACUGGAAACGGUAGCUAAUACCGCAUAACGUCGCAAGACCAAAGAGGGGGACCUUCGGGCCUCUUGCCAUCGGAUGUGCCCAGAUGGGAUUAGCUAGUAGGUGGGGUAAAGGCUCACCUAGGCGACGAUCCCUAGCUGGUCUGAGAGGAUGACCAGCCACACUGGAACUGAGACACGGUCCAGACUCCUACGGGAGGCAGCAGUGGGGAAUAUUGCACAAUGGGCGCAAGCCUGAUGCAGCCAUGCCGCGUGUAUGAAGAAGGCCUUCGGGUUGUAAAGUACUUUCAGCGGGGAGGAAGGGAGUAAAGUUAAUACCUUUGCUCAUUGACGUUACCCGCAGAAGAAGCACCGGCUAACUCCGUGCCAGC